rnacentral:rRNA from 1 species
GACGAACGCUGGCGGCGUGCUUAACACAUGCAAGUCGAACGGAAAGGCCCUGCUUUUGUGGGGUGCCCGAGUGGCGAACGGGUGAGUAACCCGUGAGUAUCCUGCCCUUGACUGUGGGAUGACUUCAGGAAACUGGGGCUAAUACCGGAUAGGAGCUCGUGCUGCAGGGUGGGGGUUGGAAAGUUUCGGCGGGUGGGGAUGGACUCUCGGCUUAUGAGCUUGUUGGUGGGGGAGUGGCUUACGAAGGGAUUGGCGGGUAGCCGGCCUGAGAGGGUGACCGGCCACAUUGGUCCUGCGAUACGCCCCAGUCUCCUACGGGAGACAGCAGGCGGGAAUAUUGCACAAUGGGCCGAAGCCUGAUGCAGCGACGCCGCGAUCGUGAUGACGGCUUUCGGGUUGUAAACCGCUUUCGCCUGAGACGAAGCUUGAUUGACGUUAAUGGGUGAAUAAGCACCGGCUAACUACGUG